rnacentral:rRNA from 1 species
UUUAGAGUUUGAAUCCUGGCUCAGAUUGAACGCUGGCGGCAGGCCUAACACAUGCAAGUCGAGCGGAUGAAGGGAGCUUGCUCCUGGAUUCAGCGGCGGACGGGUGAGUAAUGCCUAGGAAUCUGCCUGGUAGUGGGGGAUAACGUCCGGAAACGGGCGCUAAUACCGCAUACGUCCUGAGGGAGAAAGUGGGGGAUCUUCGGACCUCACGCUAUCAGAUGAGCCUAGGUCGGAUUAGCUAGUUGGUGGGGUAAAGGCCUACCAAGGCGACGAUCCGUAACUGGUCUGAGAGGAUGAUCAGUCACACUGGAACUGAGACACGGUCCAGACUCCUACGGGAGGCAGCAGUGGGGAAUAUUGGACAAUGGGCGAAAGCCUGAUCCAGCCAUGCCGCGUGUGUGAAGAAGGUCUUCGGAUUGUAAAGCACUUUAAGUUGGGAGGAAGGGCAGUAAGUUAAUACCUUGCUGUUUUGACGUUACCAACAGAAUAAGCACCGGCUAACUUCGUGCCAGCAGCCGCGGUAAUACGAAGGGUGCAAGCGUUAAUCGGAAUUACUGGGCGUAAAGCGCGCGUAGGUGGUUCAGCAAGUUGGAUGUGAAAUCCCCGGGCUCAACCUGGGAACUGCAUCCAAAACUACUGAGCUAGAGUACGGUAGAGGGUGGUGGAAUUUCCUGUGUAGCGGUGAAAUGCGUAGAUAUAGGAAGGAACACCAGUGGCGAAGGCGACCACCUGGACUGAUACUGACACUGAGGUGCGAAAGCGUGGGGAGCAAACAGGAUUAGAUACCCUGGUAGUCCACGCCGUAAACGAUGUCGACUAGCCGUUGGGAUCCUUGAGAUCUUAGUGGCGAAGCUAACGCGAUAAGUCGACCGCCUUGGGU